UGGAGAGUGAAAACCACUGUGCCACAGGUC
rnacentral:piRNA from 1 species